GACGAACUGCCCAAACGUUGUUCGGAAUCACUGGGCUUAAAGGGCGCGUAGGCGGCGAAUCAAGUCAGGGGUGAAAUCCGGCAGCUCAACUGUCGAAGUGCCUUUGAUACUGAUUUGCUCGAGGGAGGUAGGGGUCUGUGGAACUUCUGGUGGAGCGGUGAAAUGCGUUGAUAUCAGAAGGAACGCCGGUGGCGAAAGCGACGGACUGGACAUUUUCUGACGCUGAGGCGCGAAAGCUAGGGGAGCAAACGGG
rnacentral:rRNA from 1 species